rnacentral:rRNA from 1 species
UGGGGAAUUUUGGACAAUGGGCGAAAGCCUGAUCCAGCAAUGCCGCGUGUGUGAAGAAGGCCUUCGGGUUGUAAAGCACUUUUGUCCGGAAAGAAAUCCUUGGCUCUAAUACAGUCGGGGGAUGACGGUACCGGAAGAAUAAGCACCGGCUAACUACGUGCCAGCAGCCGCGGUAAUACGUAGGGUGCAAGCGUUAAUCGGAAUUACUGGGCGUAAAGCGUGCGCAGGCGGUUUGCUAAGACCGAUGUGAAAUCCCCGGGCUCAACCUGGGAACUGCAUUGGUGACUGGCAGGCUAGAGUAUGGCAGAGGGGGGUAGAAUUCCACGUGUAGCAGUGAAAUGCGUAGAGAUGUGGAGGAAUACCGAUGGCGAAGGCAGCCCCUGGGCAAUACUGACGCUCAUGCACGAAAAGCGUGGGGAGCAAAACAGGAUUAGAUACCCUGGUAGUCCACGCCCUAAAACGAUGUCAACUAGUUGUUGGGGAUUCAUUUCCUUAGUAACGUAGCUAACGCGUGAAGUUGACCGCCUGGGGAGUACGGUCGCAAGAUUAAAACUCAAAUGAAUUGACGGGGUCAUAGCUG